rnacentral:lncRNA from 1 species
GAUUUUAAGAUGGAAGAGAAGGGGUUAACUAAAGGCAUAACGGAAAGUGCUCACCCUGUCACCUCGCAGCGAGUGGGUGCUCGUCCGACAAGUUAUUGUGGUGGUGGUGGGGGUGGAGGAGGAGGAGGAGGAGGAGGAGGAGGAGGAAGGGCCUUCUCCCCUGGGCUGCCAUUUCUGCAGCCCCUCCAGGCCCCACAAGAGCACCCCUCAUAAAGGCUGGAGAUGCACAAAGGCCCGACAGUCCUGACAGCUGCAGAGGGACGAGACGCCGGAGAAACAGGCAGGGCUCCCAGCCCAGCCUCAAACAAGUCUGGGCCCGGACCGUGUUUGUUGGCUGGCAAAGGCCCUGGAGCACUGCACCGUCCUGGCCAGCCGAGGAUGCAGAGCCAACGCCAACCGGCACCCUCCGGGCUCAGAGCCCUCCCGCAGGGCCUGACAGGUCGGCUCCGGUCAGUGUAGACGUCUCCUCCUCUCCUGGGUUUGACCUUGUAGGGCAGAAGAGUCAGGCCUGCUGCGGCCGGCCAGGACACCAAGACACCGUGUGGGCCAAAGCCGAGGACCCUGCCGAGGCAGCCGCACAGCCAGGCUCCAAAGUCCAGGCUUUUUCAGUCAGAAAAAAAGAAGGAAACUAUUGUGUAGACACGGCUGCGUGUCAUAGAAAACAAGGCAGCUCUUACAGGCAUCUAUGUGUGUCCUGGGCGCGUUUGCCUGUGAAAAAGCCCCCCAGACACAGUGCUGGCUUUGAUAUUAGCUAGUGACGAUCAUCUGAAGGGUUGGAAAACAGAAAUCAUAAAAAGAGAAUAGUGUCUGCAAGGAGGCAGCGAUGUUUGCAGCCCUCCUCGCUCACUUGCUCUCUGCCCUCCCUCCCUCCUUCUCUUGGCCCUUUUCUCUUUUUUCUCCCUCUUUCUCUUUCUCUUCCCCUCUGUCUCUCUUCUCUAGCUCUCAAUCUCUCUUUCCCACUCCUUCCAUCUCCUUCUCUGUCUGUCUCUCUCUCCCUCCUUCUCCCUCUCUUCCCCUCUGUCUCUCUUCUCUAGCUCUCAAUCUCUUUCUCUCCCCCCCCCAUAUCUGUCUCUUUCUCUCUCUGUGUGUCUGUCUCCCUCCUUUUCCCUCUCUUCCCCUCUCUUCUCUAGCUCUCAAUUUCUCUCUCUGUCUCUCUCGAUGUUUCUGCUUUCUCUAAGUCUCUCUGUCUCUCCCUCUCUCUCUCUCUCUCACUGUCUC